rnacentral:rRNA from 1 species
UACAGAGGGGGCAAGCGUUAUUCGGAAUUAUUGGGCGUAAAGAGCGCGUAGGCGGCCUGACAAGUGACGGGUGAAACCCCUCGGCUUAACCGAGGAACUGCCCGUUAGACUGCCGGGCUUGAGACCGGGAGAGGUGAGUGGAAUUCCCAGUGUAGCGGUGAAAUGCGUAGAUAUUGGGAGGAACACCAGUGGCGAAGGCGGCUCACUGGACCGGUACUGACGCUGAGGCGCGAAAGCGUGGGGAGCAAACAGG